ACUUCCUCGUUGACUUCGUUCAGGGCUCAGUUCAGCGCUCCCUGAACUGUCUGAGGAGCUGGAGUUGCUCCCUCCGCAGGCACGUUUCUGUCUGCAGGUUUAUCCUGUUCAGUAGGUCAGGGUUUGUUACUGACAACCAUGACCUGCUGUGAGCCCUUCUGCGAGUGUGGAGCUGGGGGGCAAGAAGGGCAGCCUUAGCUGUGCCAACGCUUCGUCCUGUCAGGGCAUUUGCACGCCAAAGGCAAAGAAGAAAAAAUGUCCAAAUCAUUAAAGAACUACAUUACUAUUAAGGACUUUCUGAAGACCUUUUCCCCCGAUGUCUUCCGGUUCUUCUGCCUGCGGAGCAGCUACCGCUCAGGUUUUCUGAGACGUGGUCUGAACCUCUCCCCUGGGUGGAACUGCAGUGCAUCGGCCCAGGGGACCUGCGCUCACGGGCGCACGAGCUUGAGAAAGAAGUGUGGCCAGCCUCGUGCUCGCCUGGCCUCGUGCAGCAUCUGUGUGUGGUGUGCACUUACGCGUGAUGAAAGCAGCCCAGCCGUGCCGUGAGAGGAAGAGUCGGGGAGGCGAAUGGGCUGGAGAAACUGUUUCCGCCUGGCUCCGUGUUGCUGGAAACGGGCAGAGGCGGCGGAGAUGAAUCCCGUGUGCGAGCGCAGAGCUCUCUUCCCGGCUCGUGCUUGCUCCCCUCGUGGCUGGGGGCUGUGGUCCUUUCAAAGCUGUUCCCUGCGGAUCCCUUCCCAGGGGCACUUUGCCCUCGGAAGCCCCGCCUCCCUUCUCGCAGAUUGUGGCAGGAUUAGGGGCAGCAUCUUGUAUGACUGUCCUAAUUGUGUGCAGUUCUUUUUGAGCUUUGAAUACGAAGUUUGGUCUGAAAAGAGGCUUUCUCAAGCCUGGGCAGCUCUUUCAGGAACACAUUCCCAGUGGGAAUUUUGGGUGGGAUUCAGGAGGCACCGAUCUGCCAGUGAGGGAUUUCUAGGAACACAAGGUUAGUCAGGACGUGGAUCCCCACAGUGGACACGACUGCCCCACCCCGCCGAGGUCGGAGGUGGCCUUGAGGAGCUGGGCCGUCGCUUGCUGUCUGAGCUUCCAUCCACGAAUGGUGUGGGAGUUCGGGAUCUUCCCAGACAUUCUUUCUUCACCUUUGGGAAGAUGGAGGGGGACGGUGGUGGCAUCCCUUGCAGUCUGUGCUGCGCUGACACUUUGGAGAAGUGUCUCCCAUCUGUAGAGCAGAAUCCUCUUUGGAGAAAUGCAGCUGUCCUUGACCUUGAGGCAGAAGGCGUCUCCAUCCUGGGCAUCUGUCUGCCCCUCCCCAUCUGGAUGCCUCAUCUUGCUGUGUCAUUAAUGCCAUCGACUACAGUGACAGCGCCAUGCUCCAAGCUCAGCAGCUGCUCCUGGGGCUGGGCUCUUUCCUGGAGGACGCACGUGCCUACAUGAAGGGGCAGCUGGCCUGCGGCUCCGUCAGGGAAGCGAUGCUGUGGGAGAGGUAAGAGGCCCGCCUAGCACCCGGCGUGGCACCCCUCCUGUGGCCUGCUGGGUGCUGCUGGUGGGCUCUUGAAGGGGAAGAGGGGCCCCCAGGAGACAGGGCGCUGGACAGGAGGUUUGGGGUCAGGGACUGCCCAGAGAGGCCCCAGGAGACAGGGUGCUGGGCAGGAGGUGCAGGUGUGGGGUCAGGGGCUCCCCAGAGGCCACAGGGGACUGGGAGCUGGACAGGAGGUGUGGGGUCAGGGGCUCCCCAGAGGCCACAGGACACUGGGUGCUGGACAGGAGGUGUGGGGUCAGGGGCUCCCGAGACAUCCCAGGGAGACGGCGCUGGCAGGAAGUGUGCCUGGGGCCCUCGGGCUCUGAGCCCCCUGCUCAGAGUGGCUUUGGGCUCGGGUUCCCUGUGCGAGGAGCGGAGCUGCUCAUCCCUCCCAGUCCUGACUGUGAGGAGCCAAAAUCUAUAAAACACACAGGCCUGGGCCCACAGCAUCGCCUCCACUCCCCACCCACGGGUGUCCUGGGCAGCGCUGCACAUUCAUCCCGGCAUGCAGAGUCUUCCGGAUGGUCUUGGUGAUAACCCACCCCUGCCACUUCAGCAGGGUAGGCAGCCAGUGGCCACGGGAGGCUGAGAUCCGGGAGCCCCGGGCUGGGCCUCCCCAGCCUCUCUUUGUGAGUGGUCAGCCGUGCCGUCUCUCCCCCACCGAGUCUUCCUUGCCACUCCCCUCAAUAUCUAUUGAUUUUUAAAACCAUCAUGAAAAUGCCCACGUGUGUCUUGUAUUUUAAGUGUCACAGGUGACCUCUGCUCUGGGACUUUUUCUUGGGGUAACAUGACAGUUUGCAGUUGAUGUUACAUAAUUUUCUGCUACUCAGGAACUCAAGUCUUUGGGAAUAUGACCUAGAGAAAGUCCCCAGAUUAGAGCCCCCAGCGUCUCUCCCUGGGGAAGGACUGGUGUGGGGGCCGCCUGGGGAGAGUGGAGCUCCCUCUGCUGUGACUGUUCUCUCCUCUUCCCUCAGGCUCUCCAGCACCAAGAGGGCCGUGAAGGCGGCCUUGGCAGAUGAUUUUGACACACCCAGGGUGGUUGAUGCCAUCCUGGGCCUUGCACACCACGGGAAUGGACAGCUCAGGGCGUCCCUGAAGGAACCUGAAGGGCCGAGAAGUCCUGCUGUGUUUGGUGCCAUCAUCUCUUACUUUGAACAGUUUUUUGAAACUGUUGGAAUUUCUCUGGCAAAUCAACAGUUGGCAAACUCUCGUGCGCAGAACCAGAGAUGAGUCCAUCUCAGCAACAGAAUGUCGCCAGCUCUGCACACACGUUUAUGUUCAAAGACUCUCAGAAUGUGCAGAAGUCACAGGCACAUACGUUUCAGGAGACGGCAGCGAGGCUACCUUGCAUGGUGUGGUGGACGAGCUGGUGCGGUUCCGGCAGAAGGUCCGGCAGUUUGCGCUGGCCAUGCCCGAGGCCACGGGGGACGCCCGGCGGCAGCAGCUCCUAGAAAGGCAGCCCCUGCUGGAAGCAUGCGACACCCUGCGCCGGGGCCUGACUGCCCACGGCAUCAACAUCAAGGACAGAAGCAGUACAACAUCCACGUGGGAACUGCUGGAUCAAAGGACAAAAGACCAAAAAUCAGCGGGCUGAGGAUGGAGCACAGCCAUGAACCUGCUCACGACAAGACGCACCCAUGCUUCUCAGGGUCAAGGCUUUAUGUUAAAGCUUCCUGUCGGGGCUGCUAGGUCAGCAUUAAAGUAAGGCAACC
rnacentral:lncRNA from 1 species